ensembl:lncRNA
GAGUCCAGUGUGUUGGGUAGAGUCCAGUGUGUUGGGUAGAGUCCAGUGUGUUGGGUAGAGUCCAGUGUGUUGGGUAGAGUCCAGUGUGUAGAUAGAGUCCAGUGUGUAAAUAGAGUCCAGUGUGUUGGAUAGAGUCCAGUGUGUAAAUAGAGUCCCGUGUGUAAAUAGAGUCCAGUGUGUAAAUAGAGUCCUGUGUGUAGAUAGAGUCCAGUGUGUAGAUAGAGUCCAGUGUGUGUGUAGAGUCCAGUGUGUGGGUAGAGUCCAGUGUGUUGG